rnacentral:rRNA from 2 species
UCGGGAAUAUUGCGCAAUGGAGGAAACUCUGACGCAGUGACGCCGCGUGCAGGAAGAAGGUUUUCGGAUUGUAAACUGCUUUAGACAGGGAAGAAACAAGACAGUACCUGUAGAAUAAGCUCCGGCUAACUACGUGCCAGCAGCCGCGGUAAUACGUAGGGAGCAAGCGUUAUCCGGAUUUAUUGGGUGUAAAGGGUGCGUAGACGGGAAAACAAGUUAGUUGUGAAAUCCCUCGGCUUAACUGAGGAACUGCAACUAAAACUAUUUUUCUUGAGUGUUGGAGAGGAAAGUGGAAUUCCUAGUGUAGCGGUGAAAUGCGUAGAUAUUAGGAGGAACACCAGUGGCGAAGGCGACUUUCUGGACAAUAACUGACGUUGAGGCACGAAAGUGUGGGGAGCAAACAGG